ensembl:snRNA U6 U6 spliceosomal RNA
AUGCUCACUUUGGCAGCACAUAUACUAAAACUGGAACAAUACAGAGAAGAUGCACAUAGCCCUUCACAAGGAUGACGCACAAAUUCAUGCUGCAUUCCGUAUUUUU